GAUCAGCAUUCAAGCCAAGAAGGGGUUUCUACUUCUCUAAUAAUAGCACUAACUUAUGGAGCUGUCAUAAGCAUAGUUGCUGCUAUUCUUCUUAUCAUUGUGAUUAGACGAAACAUGAAAGUACUAAAAUUUACAGCACUGUUCAGUAACAAGCCUGAAUCAACAUCGGCAGAAAACCCUUUGUUUUUCUACAAAGGUAAUAUAGGACUCAGAUAUAAACAUA